rnacentral:rRNA from 1 species
UACGUAGGGUGCAAGCGUUGUCCGGAAUUAUUGGGCGUAAAGGGCUCGUAGGCGGUUUGUCGCGUCGGGAGUGAAAACCAGGUGCUUAACACCUGGCUUGCUUUCGAUACGGGCAGACUUGAGGUAUUCAGGGGAGAACGGAAUUCCUGGUGUAGCGGUGAAAUGCGCAGAUAUCAGGAGGAACACCGGUGGCGAAGGCGGUUCUCUGGGAAUAUUCUGACGCUGAGGAGCGAAAGUGUGGGGAGCGAACAGG